rnacentral:rRNA from 1 species
GACGAACGCUGGCGGCGUGCUUAACACAUGCAAGUCGAACGGAAAGGCCCUGCUUUUGUGGGGUGCUCGAGUGGCGAACGUGUGAGUAACACGUGAGUAACCUGCCCUUUACUUUGGGAUAACUUCAGGAAACUGGGGCUAAUACCGGAUAGGAGCUCCUGCUGCAUGGUUGGGGUUGGAAAGUUUCGGCGGUUGGGGAUGGACUCGCGGCUUAUCAGCUUGUUGGUGGGGUAGUGGCUUACCAAGGCUUUGACGGGUAGCCGGCCUGAGAGGGUGACCGGCCACAUUGGGAAUGAGAUACGGCCCAGACUCCUACGGGAGGCAGCAGGGGGGAAUAUUGAACAAUGGGCGGAAGCCUGAUGCAGCAACGACGAGUGCGGGAUGACGGACUUCGGGUUGUAAACCGCUUUCGCCUGUGACGAAGCGUGAGUGAAGGUAAUGGGUAAAGAAGCACCGGAUAACUACGUG